GCGGGGUCGAGAUGGCGGCGCCUUUGAGGAUUCAGAGCGACUGGGCGCAAGCCCUCAGGAAGGAUGAAGGGGAGGCCUGGCUGAGCUGUCAUCCCCCAGGGAAACCAUCUUUGUAUGGCAGCCUGACUUGUCAAGGAAUUGGCCUAGAUGGCAUCCCAGAGGUUACAGCUUCAGAAGGAUUUACUGUGAAUGAAAUAAACAAGAAAAGCAUUCAUAUUUCAUGUCCAAAGGAAAAUGCAUCUUCUAAGUUUUUGGCACCAUAUACUACUUUUUCCAGAAUUCAUACAAAGAGUAUAACAUGCCUGGACAUUUCCAGCAGAGGAGGUCUUGGUGUGUCUUCUAGUACUGACGGGACCAUGAAAAUCUGGCAGGCUUCCAAUGGAGAACUCAGGAGAGUAUUGGAAGGACAUGUGUUUGAUGUGAAUUGUUGCAGGUUUUUCCCAUCAGGCCUUGUGGUCCUGAGUGGGGGAAUGGAUGCCCAGCUGAAGAUAUGGUCAGCUGAAGAUGCUAGCUGCGUGGUGACCUUCAAAGGUCACAAAGGAGGUAUCCUGGAUACAGCCAUCGUUGAUCGGGGGAGGAAUGUGGUGUCUGCU
rnacentral:lncRNA from 1 species